rnacentral:lncRNA from 1 species
GGUUAGGGUUAGUAAUAAUAAUUCUAAGUUGUUUAAUUUGGCAGAAAAUUUGGUGUGAAAUCUUGUGUCCAUGGCAGAGGGAAGGUUAAUUUUAACAGUAAUUUCUUGCCUCGGAUGUAUAAAUGGAUAAAGUACAAAUUGUACUCUUGUUUUUCAGACCAAGGAGGAGCUGAAUGGAUGUGAAUGAACAAGACAUGAGGUAAAGAAAUAGGAAGAGAGGACACCAUACAGACUGUCUAUAUGUCAACGGUUGCAACUGGAGAAAGGCAAACUUGUUACCUUUGCUGACCAGGUAAAUACCAUAUGCUUGCAAGUAUAUUCCAAUUUAUCUGCUUUUCUGUUGGACAUUAGCAGGUAAUAAAGGUGGGGGUGGAUGGUGGGUCAGACAUGGCUCAGGGUUCUUUGUUCAGAGAAACAAACUGACAAAUUCAAAACCUAAAACAGACAGACAGCAAUUACAUUCAAAGAAUGACUUUAGAAACAGACUCAAAAAGUACCAUAGUCUGUGAUAGGACAGGGCCUUGUUGUUCAGAUGCCAACAGAACCAAUUGAGUCAUUUACAAUAGCUUCACUUUCUUAUUGGAAAGUCUGUUAGUUUCAGUAUAUGUACAUGUACAUUAAUUUAACUGAAGAUCAUGUGUAAGUUCAUCAUUUCUGAACAUAAUUUCUGGGAAGGCAUACUGUAUCAGGACAGGUUGACUGUUAGAAAGAAUAAAUUAAGUACUCCAUUGUGACUGAUUUUCAUAACAAUGAGCAUUGGUCUUAGGUGCUAAACUGUUUCUGAAUGUUUCAAUACAGUGUACGUAAUCAACAGUGGAUGGACAAGAAGUCUGGACAGACAAUGAGCUAAUAUUGAUGGACAAUGCAUAUGGAUGGACAGUGGACAAGUCGACCUACAAGUAGUGGAAAGCCUAAAUAGAGCAGUGGACAAGUUUGGGCAGACAGUGGAUAGUCUUUAACAACCAGGAUGUUAGACCAGGCAAAGAGCAUCACAAGACAGCAUGAACUUGGAGAGACAAGAAAAAGGAUAGCAGGCCAAAUAUGAAAGAAAGAGGACGCUAAAAGAUUAACCACCAAGACAAGAUAACACAGUUUGUGGUAUCAUGAUAAGUAAUGCAGUAUUUGAAGUUGCGUAUUCAGUUUAACCCCAAAUUUCAAUGUAUGAAUAGAAAUAUAAGUUUAAUUUUAUGGUAUGAGCUGUUUGCAAAGUUUUCAUUUUGGUAAGAUUUGUGAUUUUUCUUCAAUUGUCUUCUGAAUUCUGAAUGAUCUAAAAGUCAUUAAAGUGUGACCAAAAAUUUUAUUGUAAGUUACAACGUGCAUGCCAAAAAUACAUGUAUAAGAAUUGAUCAAAUUGGGAGAUACUUAAAUUUGUCCUUUGUGCACAUCAUAUUCCUUGUUUUUUUGUAUUUUCCUUUGCAAAAUGCUCAUUACCAGCUUUGUAUUUAAUUAUACCUCCAGGGAUAAUAUACAUGUACUUCUCAUCAGAACUUAUACAUGUAGGCUGGGCUUUUUGUUUUAGAAAGUUAAGAAUCUCAUCUCAAAUCUUCAAAAUGAACUUUUGCACAAUAUUCAUGCUACAUAUCCUUGUAUGUACACAGAUCAUAUACGCAGUAAAGAUGGCUACAUGAAAUAUUAUUUUUAGUUAUUGCUCAUUUAUCUUUUUCAAAGACUAGCAUGUGACAAGUUUUAUGGAAAUUCAUAUAGUUUGUCUAUUUUAAGUGUGUUUUUAUUCGGCCUAGCCCGGGAGGCCUUUGAGCAUGGGGUACAGCUGGCCCGGGGUUUUCCUCCUAGGGGCAAGUGGACGUACAGGGAGGUUUUUCACCCAGCUGUUGUUCCACAACCCCUGUUCAGGUUAGCUGCCUACUACAAUUAUCAGUUGAAUAAGGUGUGACAUUCAACUUGUGUUGUUGUUACAGGCAAUUUGCUCCAUUUCCAGUGGAAACUUGUCAGUCUUUGACGUCAUUGGCAGCAAAGUGCGCGAAAUUGCAGGCGAUGAUAUUGUUACCAUGUAAAACAAGGAAAGUUUCCCAUGGCAACAGCAUAAUUUUAAGCCCAAACCUUUGUUACUUGUUGAGAGUUCCGUCGCACCUUAUUCAACUGAUAAUGGUAGUGUUUACUUUAUUCUAGCUUUGUAGUCUAGGUUCUUGUGAUAAAUGUUUGGCAUACUGCUUGCCUUGGUAUAGAGGGAUAACCUCAACAAAACAACCAGCAAACUUUAACUUCAUUCAAACAGAACCAACACAAACUUGACCAGCAGCAGAUGGAUUGAAACUGAUUACAUGUAUAUCUGACACGCUUAAUGACCUCAACAAAACAACCAACAAACUUUAACUUCAUUCAAACAGAACCAACACAAACUUGACCAGCAACAGAUGGAUUUAAACUGACAGCAUCUGACAUGCUUAAUGACCUCAACAAAACAACCAGCAAACUUUACCAACAAACUGUAAGAAGGAAUCAGCUAACAAGAGGAAAAAAACUUUGUGCUGAGAUUAUUUACAUUGUAUUGCAAACUUCUGUGCAGCUCUUUUUUAAAAAUAUCUUCUCACCUUGCACCUUGAGCUGAACAAAUCAACAAACCAAGAUGUCGACUUCAAACAGAACCAGUGCAGGUUUGACUGCCAAUGGUUGAGAUCAACAAUAACUGUCCCGCCAACUAACAGUACUUGACAAAAGACAAAAUCAAUGAAAAGCAAUGAAAAAUGACAAAGACAGUGACAUGCUUUCAAUGUGCUACCACCAUUGUGAGUAUGACCAACUACCACAACAAAAUGGACGCCUGAGACCUGAAGUCAGUUCUUCAGGGUAGACUUAACAUCCAACUAUACUCAACAGACUAAAAAUAGACUGCCUCUAAUACUUGAGGCUAUACAACUGACUACAGUGCAACUUGAGACAUUGUACCACAUCUGCCAAAUGUUACACAGAUCCAAAACUGCACAAACCUCAUACCGAUGCAACCAAUGGUGUUGUCACUUUAGAAAUGAGCAUUAAGGGAAGGUAGUACUAUUGUUACAUGUAGGCGUGUGUGCCACCAUUGUUCAAACAAGUGCCUUUUGGAAAAAAAUUGUCUUGAGAAAUUUUGCAGCUUAUUAUCACCGAAGUCAUACAUUGUACAUCUACAGUGCAUAUCCUUUAGAGAUUUACAUGCAGCAGCAAAGACCUCUGACUUCAAUCAAUGAACCAGUUAAUCAUGAAAUUAUAGUUUAUUUAUUUUGCACCCAUUCCAUUUGGCUGACUUGAAUCCAUUGAGCAGUAAAUGUUACUGGUACUCUUGCACUUGUUUGUCCCAUUUGAAUUACGUUUGAAUGUUGUGGACAGCACAUGCUUCCUUUCAGCAGUGGGUUUCUUUUCGUAGAUAUGUGAAGUACAUAAUGUUUAUCAUUACUCUUUCACAAAAGUUGUCCAAAAUUUAUAUAAAAAUAUUGUCAACAAUUACCUAGUUGUAAACAAAGCUUGGAAAAGCUGGAACAGUACUGUGCAUAUUGUGUCUCCAUUCCUUUCUUAUAGCUACUGACUGACCAUUACUUUCUAGAACCAAACUGAGACAUAUUUCCUUUUGAUAUCUGAUCAUUUGGUCAAUUCUUGUGAUGUUUGGGGUUGACUCUGAGGAGAAACCAGUUACUGAUUACUUUUAAACAACAUUUGACAACAAACUCAUUUAAAUCUUAAUAGUGAAUGUUUAUUUCUUCAAUUAAAACUUCUAAUCAUUGGUGAAACACAAGAAAAACAUAUGUAGAGCAGUGAAUUAUUUUUCAUUUACGAAUUACAUGUAUUUUCCUUUGGUCAGUUUGGUAACUGCUAAUUAAACAACUUUUAUUUCAUUUUAGGCACAUACUAAGGUUUCAUUCUUAGCCUUAAAAGCAGGACUGAGUAGCUAACGGCAAAUUACUUUCAAGAUUAGAGAGCUUCAGCACAGUUGACAUGUGCACAGGACACCCAGUUUUUCACUAUUUGGCUUUUGUUAUGGGAUGUGCUUCAUUAUAAGUUAAGGUAAAUUAAUGUUACAUAGUAGAACUCUUAAAACUUAGUUAGCAGUCACUUCACUGCUCAGAGGAAGCUUGGUAGUAAGUUAUUACGUAUUAUUUUAGUGUUUCUUUAUACUAGAAUAUGUAACUAAAUUAUGAACUCUAACAACAAUCAACAUCACCCUGCCACUCAACCUUAUCACCGUUUUUAAUAUAUUUUGUGAAAACUACUACAUUGGUUAAUGUCAUUCACUGGUUGUUUUUGUAAUACAUGCCCGUAGGUAGUCAGAAAUUCAAAAUAUUCCCUUUUACAUCCAUUUUUUCUAUUAAGGUGGUUGGCAGCUUGACGGUGGUUGUUUAAUUCAUAAACUAGGGGAGCAUUUUUUAAUUAAAAGAUUUAAGAUAUAUUUCAUAUAUUUUUCAUUCACAGUUCGUUAUUAACAGUUUGGAUACAGGUACAUGAAAAAAGUAUUUCAACUCCAAAAUGUGGCCUGGGUUGACAGAAGUCCUUUUAAAUUCAAUGUUCAGUUGUCAUAAGACUAGAAGUGAGAUGUAAAAUGACAUCUGUUAACUACUAGGCUGCUACAAAAUUAACAGCUUUGUUUUUCCGAUGUUAUCAGUUUGUCCUUUUUCUAUAACACUAUUAAUGCUCCCUUUGUUUAUAUUAGUUUACUUUGUACAUUAAGUAGAGUUGCAAGUUCAUUAGCAUAAAUUGAAAGAGUAAAAGCAUAAAAUUAGUAUUUAUUUUCAAGCACUACAAAAUUUGGAGCUAUUGGCUAGGUGUUAUAAUUAAUAACUAGUCUUACUGCCACUCCACAUUAUUUUCGUACCUUCUUGGUUGCAUUAGGUAUUACUGUCAAGACUUAGCAAAAUAUUAGUUUAUGCAAAUGCAAUUGUGGGUGGCAAUCUUACAAAGACAAAGGGUUCUGUAGAAAAAAAAGUACUACUUUUUACAUGUAGAAUUAAGCAAAAUUUAGUAUAGUUUUUCACUUAGUAAUUGUGUAAGACCAGGGCUAUUUUCAUUUUCCAUGAUCAUCACUUUAUUGUAAUUUUCUUGGUUCUUUCUUGGUGUUGCAAGGCAUUAUAUUUUAUAGGCUCACUAACUCUUCCUUAAAACUUGUUCAUCAGUUGACUGCUUCAGAAAUUAUAGUCUUUUGGGACUGUUUUAUUAACCUUGUAGGAUGUUUUUGUUUUUGUCCAGUAACAUGCAUACAGCAUGCCCACAAGCUACCUUAAGACUUCAAUCUCGUUUUCGUCUGUACUUGUAUCACCAAGAAGCAACCAUUUUUUUCUCUAUUAGUUUAUUUAUAAUGCUAAUGAGCUUGCAUGUAUCUACUAAAGUUCUUAGGUUAUCAUUUAAUUCCAGGACAGAAGGUGGCACACACACCAAGACCAAGGUGGUCAUAUUCAAAUCUAGCCAGUCACGUCCCUGCUGGGUUGUGGAAGCUCUGCCUCUGAAAAGGUGUGUGUUUCUGAUGUCUUCUGAAAUAUUCCAACUGAGAAAUCCUGGGAAACUUUAUCUGAUCCUGUAAUUCAAGCUGGGGACAGUUGGACACUUGGAAUUGUUGCCCGUUUGCUCUCAAGUGGGGUCGACAGCAUGAAGGACGGUGAGAGUUUGCUUUUCAUGUCUUAAGGGUCUCACUGAAUUUGUCACAGUACCACACCAUCAAUUCGGCAUUUUUCAGCCCGGCAGGGUGCUUUUUGCAGUCAGUGUAUCAGGAAAUGUUCCACAAUCAAGGACGUAAAACAGGAGUGCUUAAUUGUGGGGCUCAAGGAAGGUGCAUCUCUAGAGAAAGCAUGGACAGAGGAGAGUGCUGAAUUUCAUUGGUCUGACUUGAUUGGAUUUUCACUAAUGAGAUCAAAUUGAGCUAAUGGUCACUGGGGGUCUCUCUGAUUGGGUUGCUGCUGGGUCAGGUUUUCUCUCUUUUAGUUUUUCAUUAAAAUCUAAAA